AUGAACGCUAGCGACAGGCCUAACACAUGCAAGUCGAGGGGCAGCACAAGGAGCAAUCUGAGGUGGCGACCGGCGCACGGGUGAGUAACACGUAUGCAACCUGCCUGUAAGCGGGGAAUAACCCGUUGAAAGACGGACUAAUACCGCAUAAUACUAAAUUACUGCAUGGUAAUUUAUUUAAACAUUUAUGGCUUACAGAUGGGCAUGCGCAUGAUUAGCUAGUUGGAGAGGUAACGGCUCCCCAAGGCAACGAUCAUUAGGGGUUCUGAGAGGAAGGUCCCCCACACUGGUACUGAGACACGGACCAGACUCCUACGGGAGGCAGCAGUGAGGAAUAUUGGUCAAUGGACGAGAGUCUGAACCAGCCAAGUCGCGUGCAGGAAGAAUGUCCUUAAUGGAUUGUAAACUGCUUUUGCAGGGGAAUAAAGUGCAUCACGUGUGAUGUUCUGUAUGUACUCUGCGAAUAAGGAUCGGCUAACUCCGUGCCAGCAGCCGC
rnacentral:rRNA from 1 species